AAUAUUCUUGUUGUACACAUCUGUGCAUAUAAGGGUGUCCAUCGGCGCCCUCCUAUUGGAGUGCGUUCCUGUUAGCAACCUCCAUCUCCCAAUUAGUUGGUUAUAUCCACAAUAGACUUGAAUUUAGUAAUAUAUGCUUUUCUAUUGUCACAAUGUUUUCCCUAUCUAAGAUUUGAAACUUCUUUCAACCUUCAAUUAUGCAUAAUGAUGCAUUGCUAUUUAAUACUGCUUUCUCAUUUAUGGGAAACUCUCUUCAAACAUACAGUCAAUCAUUCAAAUGAUACUAAAAACCCUCAAUUACAUUUUGAAUCAGAAAAUAUCUUAUGUCCAUCAAAAGAAAUGCAACAAUCAAAAGAAUUCCUUGGCAGUUGCAUUUACUAAGUCUCUUUCAAUUACAAAGCAGUAUUCUAAUGAGAGAAUAUGGAGAGCUAAAACAGAAGAUCAAUAGGGAAGGUCGCCUUCAGGAAGACAGGAAGAUCCCAGAUAUCUUCCUCCUCUUUCUUCUUGUUCCCGGGCAUCUCUUGUCCAUCCUGACUGGAGUUUCUUGAUUGAGGGCGUCAGUGUUAAAAGUAGUAUUAUCAGUGAAUUACUUUAUCAAGGUAUACGACUACGAUAGCUUUCUAAUAUAUCUAUUUGCAGUCAUUCAGCAAAUAAAACUUCAACAAGGCUAAUCAAAUAGUUAUUCAUUCCUCCAAUACAUUCCAAUCUACCUCAAGGGUCUUAAAAUGUAGAGAAAACUCAAGCAAACAUGUUUACUUAUUGGAUUACAAAGUUAUGAUUCAACAGCAGCAACACAAACAAACGGGCCUUGGGAUGUCCGAUAUGAAGCAAAAUGGAGAUCCUUUGCAGAGGAAGGGGUAGUCGCAACAGAUUGGAUGGCUAUGCUGGUUGUCUUGAAAAAUUCUAGAGCAAGCUGAUUUGAAGGAGACGGAGAAAUUAUGGGCAUCCUCAAGUCAGACAAGUUGGGCGUAUCGAACAUAAGGAUUCACAAAGCAUAGAGUAAAGGAAUUUAUGGGGCGGGUGUGUGGAUUUCCUUUCUUAUUUUUUAAUCCAUUACUUGAAAGAUAAUACAGUUAUUGGUUUGUUGAAUCUUUGUAAUGGUAGUACCACUACCCAAGUUUACAUUUUUAUGAGAAAAAUCUCACUUCCCAA
rnacentral:lncRNA from 1 species